UGGGGAAUCUUGGACAAUGGGCGAAAGCCUGAUCCAGCAAUGCCGCGUGUGCGAUGAAGGCUUUCGGGUUGUAAAGCACUUUUAUCAGGGAAGAAAUGGUUUGGGAUAAUACCUCAAAUAGCUGACGGUACCUGAAGAAUAAGCACCGGCUAACUACGUGCCAGCAGCCGCGGUAAUACGUAGGGUGCAAGCGUUAAUCGGAAUUACUGGGCGUAAAGCGUGCGCAGGCGGUUUGCUAAGACAGGUGUGAAAUCCCCGGGCUCAACCCGGGAACUGCAUCUGUGACUAGCAGACUAGAGUUUGGCAGAGGGGGGUGGAAUUCCUGGUGUAGCAGUGAAAUGCGUAGAUAU
rnacentral:rRNA from 1 species